CUUGAAACACGGACCAAGGAGUUUAUCGUGUACGCAAGUCAUUGGGUGAUAAAACCCAAAGGCGAAAUGAAAGUAAAAAGUUAAGUUUUAAAAAAAAGAAAAGGAAAGCAAUUUCUUUUAAUUUUUUUUAUACUUGCUUAAGGGAAGAUGGAAAUCUAUCAUUGUUAUUUAAUAAUUGUAGUUUUUACUAUAGUUAUUAAUAAUAUGGUAAGAUUUCUCGCACUCCCGGGGCGCUUUCUUCACGCAUUGCGUGUCAAUGCGCACCUAGAGCGUACACGCUGAUACCCGAAAGAUGGUGAACUAUGCCUGGCCAGGACGAAGCCAGGGGAAACCCUGGUGGAGGUCCGCAGCGAUUCUGACGUGCAAAUCGAUCGUCUGAGCUGGGUAUAGGGGCGAAAGACCAAUCGAACCAUCUAGUAGCUGGUUCCCUCUGAAGUUUCCCUCAGGAUA
rnacentral:rRNA from 1 species